rnacentral:rRNA from 1 species
GUUUUCUUCGGAAAGCGAGUAGAGUGGCGCACGGGUGAGUAACGCGUAGGUAAUCUACCCUUUUACCUGGGAUAACAUUGGGAAACUGGUGCUAAUACCGGAUACACUUAUCUGCUUUGGGGCAGAUGAGGAAAGGUGGCCUCUUGGUCAAAGCUACUGUAGAGGGAUGAGCCUGCGUACCAUUAGCUAGUAGGUGGGGUAAGGGCCCACCUAGGCGACGAUGGUUAGCGGGUCUGAGAGGAUGAUCCGCCACACUGGAACUGGAACACGGACCAGACUCCUACGGGAGGCAGCAGUGAGGAAUAUUGCGCAAUGGGGGAAACCCUGACGCAGCGACGCCGCGUGAGUGAGGAAGGUCUUCGGAUCGUAAAGCUCUGUCAGAAGGGAAGAAGUGUUAUAUGGUUAAUACCCAUGUAACUUGACGGUACCUUCAGAGGAAGCACCGGCUAACUCCGUGCCAGCAGCCGCGGUAAUACGGAGGGUGCGAGCGUUGUUCGGAAUUACUGGGCGUAAAGGGCGCGUAGGCGGCUGGAUAAGUCAGGUGUGAAAUCCCACGGCUCAACUGUGGAAGUGCAUUUGAAACUGUCCGGCUUGAGUAUCGGAGGGGAGUGUGGAAUUCCCGGUGUAGAGGUGAAAUUCGUAGAGAUCGGGAGGAACACCGGUGGCGAAGGCGACACUCUGGACGCAUACUGACGCUGAGGCGCGAAAGCGUGGGGAGCAAACAGGAUUAGAUACCCUGGUAGUCCACGCCGUAAACGAUGUGAACUAGGGGUAGGUGGUGUUGAUCCCAUCUGUCCCGCAGCUAACGCAUUAAGUUC